rnacentral:rRNA from 1 species
CACAAGCGGUGGAGCAUGUGGUUUAAUUCGAAGCAACGCGAAGAACCUUACCAGGUCUUGACAUCCCGAUGCUAUUUCUAGAGAUAGAAAGUUACUUCGGUACAUCGGUGACAGGUGGUGCAUGGUUGUCGUCAGCUCGUGUCGUGAGAUGUUGGGUCAAGUCCCGCAACGAGCGCAACCCCUAUUGUUAGUUGCCAUCAUUCAGUUGGGCACUCUAGCGAGACUGCCGGUAAUAAACCGGAGGAAGGUGGGAUGACGUCAAAUCAUCAUGCCCCUUAUGACCUGGGCUACACACGUGCUACAAUGGUUGGUACAACGAGUUGCGAGUCGGUGACGGCGAGCUAAUCUCUUAAAGCCAAUCUCAGUUCGGAUUGUAGGCUGCAACUCGCCUACAUGAAGUCGGAAUCGCUAGUAAUCGCGGAUCAGCACGCCGCGGUGAAUACGUUCCCGGGCCUU